rnacentral:lncRNA from 1 species
CAGAAUUCAUAUAAAAUCUUGUAAGCCUCAUUUCUUCUGAUACGAUCCUGAUUUUACAUAAAAGAAAAUUCAUCUCAACUGCUCGGAGAGGUCCCUAAGUUGGGCUAACCUCUGCUGGAGGUCAUCCAAACAAGUGCAAGCCCUGAAGCAGGAAGUUCUGACUUGAGGCUGAAAGAUAGUGGAGAGGUGCUCCAGCCCUUUGAUCAUCUUCGUUACUUCCUCUGGAUCUGCUCCAAGAGCUCUGCAUCCUUCAUGUACUAGGGCCCUCAGGCAUGGACAUAGUACUCCAGAUGGGGACUCACAAAGGCAGAGUAGAUGAGGACAAUCACCUCCCUCUCUCUGCUGGC